CUGGGGAAUAUUGUAUCUCCGCUACAGAAUGCACUAGCAACUUAUACCCUAAAUGGUAGUGAAUUAGGCAUAACAACACAUGAGAAGGAAUUGGGAAUUGUUACAGACAACAAACUAGGCAACAACAUUCAAUGUCAAUCAGCAGUGGCUAAGGCCAGUAAGGUAUUGUCAUGCAUAAAAAAAAGAGCAUUAAUUCUUGGG